UGAGCGCCACAACCCCAGAGUGGUCACGACUGGACCUAAUGGUCAGGGGUCCCUUUACCUUUACCUUACACUGACAUGUAGCCCAUCAGGUAACAUGGCCAUGAUAAUGAUGGAUUUUUCUCAAAUUACACCUGUCCCCUACAUAUGUCAGCAUCAUACACUGGAUUUGCUAAACAGGAGGGACCGUGCAUCUUUGCUUAAACAAAUUCCUAACCUCCACAGGGUUUAAGGGCAAUUUGGAUGGUCUGCCCCCAAGGUCUGAAUCUUUCCCCCAGAAACUCUGGAGGUAUUUCUUGCCCUUAAUGGUGGCCCUGUCCAAACCCGGUUGAUCUCUGGAAUAGGAGGAUGACCUGGGUGGGUGACAUAAUUUAUCAAGUGCUUUCUUGAUACAUCAGGAAGAACUUUCUGAAAGGUGAUAGUUUUUUAAGCAGAAGUGUUGAAUCACAAAAGUGCCAUUUGUGAUGGAUGUUUUAGCUGAGAUUCCUGCAUUGAUUCUAUGAGUCUUCUACUGGUUUUCUGAGGAGCUUGGAGUGAUGGAACAGCAGGGAUGGUGGUUAGAAUGCAGGGCAGAAACUCAGACUUAAGCUGACUGAACAUGGACCAGACUCUAGUCUGUAGCAGCAAUUGCAAAGGAAGCUGACUUCUCCAUCACCAUUGCAUCUGCCCAGUGUCACUCUGUAGAGCUGAUCCAAGUGUUGCAAUUUCAUAUUGCUCUCAGUAGUGUUUAUGGAGGGUGGGCAGAGUGAGAGAGCAGAAGAGCCUUGCUAGCCUGCUGUGACCAAUUUGCAUACCAUUAUUGGAUAUAGUCAUUCAUAAAAUCACUCCAGCAUGAACUCCAUAUUAACUACUGACAUUGUUUUGGAUGUCUGCAUACACAAUAGGAGUAAAGAGGGAAAAUGUAAGCGGCAAGAUUGGCCAACCACCCGAGGUGUGUAUAUGAAGUGUCAUUGUCCAGGAUAGAACAAAAUGUCAGAUCAAUCUCCCAGGUAAACCAGUCCAAUCAUCCUGAUACUUCUCUCUCCAGGUCUUGGCUUGGUAGGUCAUUAACCCCACUACCUGCAACAUUUUGCUUCCUUUUACACCAAUGCCUAUGCAAACAUCCAGAACAAAAUUGAUUGUGGAAUAACACAUAGGUUCAAGUUAAACGAUUAAGAAAUUGUGAUAAAAUAAAUUGUGUGCUGUUCCCUCCCUGCCUUGCCAAUGAUACCUUUGCUGUUUAUAACCUCCAUUUCUUGCUCUUUCGCAACGUGACCCAUUGCACGUCUGCUCAGAAGAAAGCCCUACGUGGUGCUCAGAGGAGCUUUGUGUCAGGUAAGUGUGCAUAGGAUGGCAGCCUCUCCCUAGAUCACUGCAAUUGUCUUCCUUGUCUCUCCCUGUUUAUUGGAUAGCUAGGGAAAUCCACGUACCAUGUCUAUUUUUAUUCACUUUCUGGAACUGCUCUCUAGCACAGAUUUGUCACCCUGGAUUUUGGACUGGAGGAGCAACUAUUUGCAUAUGGAGAGUCAAUGACAGGCAACCGAUGAUGGGCAGGUUGUACUUGUCCUUAAACAUUUUGUUUUCUGUCAUUCUUAAUUUUGCAUGUGAAAAUCAUGUGUCAGUACUCCAAAAUCAAGCAAAACAGAUGCAAUGCACUGAUCUGCACAGCAAACGAAAACACUGGAUUAGUUUCAAAGUCAAGUUAUUUGUCACCGAGCUAUACUUAUGUUAGGAGCAUACAGAAGUGAGAUUUCUACCUGUAGUAUCCCUUCAGAGGUCUGUUUUGAAAAGUAAAUGGAUUGUGAAUCUUAAUGUAAUGUUUUGUGUGCCUGUUUCUUGACAGGUAUUUCUCUAUGGAGGAUAAAAUUUAGAUCACAAUUGGCCCCUUCAGGGAGGCUUUCAAUUUAAACAUCUAUGUAAGUCAGAUGGCUGAAUUAAUUUUACUGAUUCAGCAAGAGUUGCUCUUUGAAAAAUGGUAUAUGAUCACUCAGCACCCAGCAGACCUUUUCAGCAGGAAACACCUUUGAGCUGAGCCAUGAAACUCUUUCUGCUUAGAUAUUCAUGUGUGUCAUGUAAAAGCCAGCCAGCAAACUAGCUCAUAAGUUCAGGGUGAUAAUGUUGUUUUCCUCCUCUGAAACCCCGGUCCUAAUUCAUUUGUCAAAGUACAUCUAGGAAACUAAUCUGGCAUAUGUAUAACAUACUGAUCUACCUGGAUGGCUGUUUACUAUAUGGUAUUGCUAGUUCUGGCCUUGACAUUUUUAUUUUUAGGUUUUCUAGGAAAACCUUUUGAUUCUGACCUUUCAAACAAUGCAAGGAACCAAGUAUGUCUGAACUUGCCACAUAUUUCAGCAUAAUGUAAUGUAGAUUUUUAAAAACUUAAAUAAAUCAUUUGCUCACUAUUGACUACUCA